rnacentral:rRNA from 1 species
GACGAACGCUGGCGGCGUGGAUUAGGGCAUGCAAGUCGAACGGUAUCAUCCUUUCGGGGGUGAGAGAGUGGCGAACUGGUGAGUAACACGUAGGUUAUCUACCCUCAAGACGGGGACAACCCAGGGAAACUUGGGCUAAUACCGGAUGUGAGCAACUUUUAGUUGUUUGAAAGGUGGCGUAAGCUGUCGCUUGGGGAUGAGCCUGCGUCCUAUUAGUUAGUUGGUGAGGUAACGGCUCACCUAGGCAAUGAUAGGUAGGCGGCCUUAACGGGUGGUCGCCCACACUGGGAUUGAGAUACGGCCCAGACUCCUACGGGAGGCAGCAGUCGAGAAUAGUCUACAAUGGUCGGAAGACUGAUAGUGCGACGCCGCGUGAACGAUGAAUCCCUUCGGGGUGUAAAGUUCUUUUAUAUGUGAGCAGUGCUUCUUAUAUUAACAGUAUGGGGAGAGAGAUAUUAGCAUAUGAAUAAGCAACGGCUAACUCCGUGCCAGCAGCCGCGGUAAUCUCG